ACUCCUACGGGAGGCAGCAGUGGGGAAUAUUGCACAAUGGGCGCAAGCCUGAUGCAGCCAUGCCGCGUGUGUGAAGAAGGCCUUCGGUUGUAAAGCACUUUCAGUCGUGAGGAAGGUGGUAGUGUUAAUAGCACUAUCAUUUGACGUUAGCGACAGAAGAAGCACCGGCUAACUCCGUGCCAGCAGCCGCGGUAAUACGGAGGGUGCGAGCGUUAAUCGGAAUUACUGGGCGUAAAGCGCAUGCAGGUGGUUUGUUAAGUCAGAUGUGAAAGCCCGGGGCUCAACCUCGGAAUAGCAUUUGAAACUGGCAGACUAGAGUACUGUAGAGGGGGUAGGAAUUUCAGGUGUAGCGGUGAAAUGCGUAGAGAUCUGAAGGAAUACCGGUGGCGAAGGCGGCCCCCUGGACAGAUACUGACACUCAGAUGCGAAAGCGUGGGGAGCAAACAGGAUUAGAU
rnacentral:rRNA from 1 species